CUGCUGCCUCCCGUAGGAGUCUGGGCCGUGUCUCAGUCCCAAUGUGGCCGGCCAACCUCUCAGUCCGGCUACUGAUCGUCGCCUUGGUGAGCCGUUACCUCACCAACUAGCUAAUCAGACGCGAGUCCAUCUCAGAGCGAUAAAUCUUUGGCAGUCAGAGCCAUGCGACCCAACUGCAUCAUGCGGUAUUAGCAGUUGUUUCCAACUGUUAUUCCCCAUCCAAGGCAGGUUA
rnacentral:rRNA from 1 species